UGGCUCCCAACGGCCAACGGCCCCGCCCAGGCUGGGCUGAGUCGGAGCCGGAACUGGGAGGUAGAGCCAGAGACCCAUUUCGCUGGGGAUGCUACUUGAUCUCUCUUCAGCCUCAGUUUCCUCACCUGGACAGUGGAGCUGAACCCACCCCCCACUAUCUGACCCUGCUCUCUGGGCUGUCUUUUGGGAACCCGCCCUGCUGAGGCCUGCUCCCCACCCUCCAUGGCUGUCAGCCCCCCAGGAGAAGAAUGUCUGCCAUAUGGAGGCUGCUGGCAGCAAAGGGAGAUGAACAAGCCAAGGUUGCCCGGCCUGCAUGCCGGCCCAGGGCUGCUGCUGUGUCUUGCCAUCAACCCUCCCCUGACACCCAGGAUGCCUGCCUCACCCAGAAGCACUCCUACGUCAGGCCUCUGAGGGGGAGCGCUUCAUGCCACUGUUAUCAAAAGAAGAAACCAUCGAAGCAGAAAGGCCAAUGCCACACUAGACAGCCAGGAGCCCAGCAGAACAAGUGGCCCCCUAAGGCACUUUGGGGACCACACCCCGCCACUGACCCCAGCACAGUCUGGUUCCCAGGGCUUCAGGAUCCUCCUGGGGACCUCUCAGCAUGAUUGACACAGGCAGACGGGACCUGAAGGGGCUGCUGGUCCUUCUGAAAAUGUUCACCAGGUAGUGUGAGUGUGGGGAAGCCAUGAACAAUGUGUGGGACUCUACCCUGCACCUGCUCAGAGCCUCAGCCCUUCAGAGCCACUACUAAUGAUUUGCUGUGGGUGGGGUCACCCUGAUACUUCUCUGAGGUGGCUUUUUCUUGCAGUUUUUCUGAGUAACUGACAGGAAUCCUUGACUGCAUGCCGCCUAAACUAGGGUGUGCACAGCCCUCGUUCUGUGCAAAGAGGGUGCAAAGCAGCAGAGUGUCUGUGACCCAUUUGCCACCUAAUGUUACUACAAGAUUUGCAAGAACCGGUCACUUAUCAGUAACCAUUUUUAUUUAAAAAGAUAAAAUAGAGCUUUGCAGGAAAGUGCUGCAGGCUCCCACGUUGCCGGGCAGACGACAACCUGGGCGCCUCGCCCAGCUCCUCCCCACAGCCAUUGGCAUCCACUGUCAGGUUUCAAUGUUCUUGGACCUCAGGGCCUUCGUCCUCUCCAAUCUAAAUGCAGAGAGACAUUUGACAUGGACUCUCUCAGGUGUUUUGCAAAAUGCAACACAUUCUCAUUGACUCUGGUCACUCUGCUGUGCACUACAUGUCAAAACCUCUUCCUCCUCCCUGAGACUUUGGUCCUUUAACUGACAACCCCCCUCCCAUUCCCUCCCUCUGCCACUCUCUGACCCCUGGUCACCAUCGAUCUACUUGCUACUUCUAUGGGGUCAACUUGUUUAGAUCAACACUUCUGGGACCUCACGUGGAAUUGGUCUCUCUGAGGUAGUGGAGAUGCUAAGUAGUGGGAUUUCCUCAUUCCACAUUGUACCCCAUGAAUGAAUACAAGCAUGAUUUGCCAAUUGAAGCAAUACAAUAAAGACAGAAG
rnacentral:lncRNA from 10 species